UAUGGUAAUUGUGGCAGCCGCGGUAAUACGGAAGGUCCGGGCGUUAUCCGGAUUUAUUGGGUUUAAAGGGAGCGUAGGCCGGAGAUUAAGCGUGUUGUGAAAUGUAGAUGCUCAACAUCUGAACUGCAGCGCGAACUGGUUUCCUUGAGUACGCAUAAAGUGGGCGGAAUUCGUGGUGUAGCGGUGAAAUGCUUAGAUAUCACGAAGAACUCCGAUUGCGAAGGCAGCUCACUGGGGCGCAACUGACGCUGAAGCUCGAAAGCGCGGGUAUCGAACAGG
rnacentral:rRNA from 1 species